UAGGCUCCGCCCUCUGCACGCCGCUCACGGAAGUGGAGCCAGAAUCCACAGAUGUCAUUAUCCAUCUGCACACUUUGUUUACUACCCAGAAGGCAAGAAUAUUGCAUUUUAAAAGUGCCCGGACUUUUGUUCUUUCUUAUCACAAAUGACUUGGGAAGCUCCGACCACUCAUGUUUACCCCGAGUGAAAGUCCCAUUCAAAGCCUUGCUUCCUGGAGAGCUUUGAGAUUCUGGUACAAAAGGCAUUUUAUAAGCACAAAGUGGAAAAGCAUCAUUCAUAUUCAUUUGCUGCUGCGGCAUUUCUCCCUGGAAUCUUCCUCUUGUCUGUCAACAUUGGGCAAAAGGACUGGCCUCAUCUACAUUACAGAUAUCCUUGUGAUGGUCUGGAGGUAGGAAAAGGACACCCAGCACAAGAGUGAGAAGGGAAACUCAAGCUCUCCUGUUGGAGAGUCUCAGGCUUCUUUAUCCAUAAAACUGAUUGGACAUAA
ensembl:lncRNA EDRF1-DT EDRF1 divergent transcript